AUCAACGCUGGCGGCGUGCCUAACACAUGCAAGUCGAACGAGAAAGUGGAGCAAUCCAUGAGUAAAGUGGCGACCGGGUGAGUAACACGUGACUAACCUACCUCCGAGUGGGGAAUAACUCCGGGAAACCGGGGCUAAUACCGCAUAACAUCGCAAGAUCAAAGCAAGCAAUGCGCUUGGAGAGGGGGUCGCGGCUGAUUAGCUAGUUGGCGGGGUAAUGGCCCACCAAGGCGAAGAUCGGUAUCCGGCCUGAGAGGGCGCACGGACACACUGGAACUGAAACACGGUCCAGACUCCUACGGGAGGCAGCAGUGGGGAAUUUUGCGCAAUGGGGGAAACCCUGACGCAGCAACGCCGCGUGGAGGAUGAAGCCCUUUGGGGCGUAAACUCCUUUCGACCAAGACGAUUAUGACGGUACUGGUGGAAGAAGCACCGGCUAACUCUGUGCCAGCAGCCGCGGUAAUACAGAGGGUGCGAGCGUUGUUCGGAAUUAUUGGGCGUAAAGGGCGCGUAGGCGGUGCCACAAGUCACUUGUGAAAUCUCCGGGCUUAACUCGGAGUCUGCAGGCGAAACUGUGGUGCUGGAGUGUGGGAGAGGUGCGUGAAUUCCCGGUGUAAGCGGCGAAAUGCGUAGAUAUCGGGAGGAACACCUGUGGCGAAAGCGGCGCACUGGACCAUAACUGACGCUGAGGCGCGAAAGCUAGGGGAGCAAACAGGAUUAGAUACCCUGGUAGUCCUAGCCCUAAACGAUGAUUGCUUGGUGUAGCAGGUACCCAAUCCUGCUGUGCCGCAGCUAACGCGAUAAGCAAUCCGCCUGGGGAGUACGGUCGCAAGGAGCUGAAACUCAAAGGAAUUGACGGGGGCCCGCACAAGCGGUGGAGCAUGUGGUUCAAUUCGACGCAACGCGAAGGACCUUACCUGGGCUCGAAAUGCAGGAGACCGGGGUGGAAACAUCCCUUCCCCUUAAAAGGCUGCUGCAUAGGUGCUGCAUGGCUGUCGUCAGCUCGUGUCGUGAGAUGUUGGGUUAAGUCCCGCAACGAGCGCAACCCUUAUCCCUAGUUGCCAUCGGGUCAAGCCGGGCACUCUAGUGAAACUGCCUCGGAUAACGAGGAGGAAGGUGGGGAUGACGUCAAGUCCUCAUGGCCUUUAUGUCCAGGGCUACACACGUGCUACAAUGGUCGGGUACAAACCGUCGCAAACCCGUGAGGGGGAGCUAUCGGAAAAAGCCGGCCUCAGUUCGGAUUGGAGUCUGCAACUCGACUCCAUGAAGCUGGAAUCGCUAGUAAUCGCGGAUCAGACAACGCCGCGGUGAAUACGUUCCCGGGCCUCUUGUACACACCGCCCGUCACAUCACGAAAGUGCGGCCGUACUAGAAGCAGGUGUGCUAACCGCAAGGAGGCAGCCUUCCAAGGUACAGCUCAUGAUUGGGUGA
rnacentral:rRNA from 1 species